rnacentral:rRNA from 1 species
AUUGAACGCUGGCGGCAGGCCUAACACAUGCAAGUCGCACGAGUGGCGGACGGGUGAGUAAUGUCUGGGAAACUGCCUGAUGGAGGGGGAUAACUACUGGAAACGGUAGCUAAUCCCGCAUACCAUCAGAUGUGCCCAGAUGGGAUUAGCUUGUAGGUGGGGUAACGGCUCACCAAGGCGACGAUCCCUAGCUGGUCUGAGCGGAGGACCAGCCACACUGGAACGGAGACACGGUCCAGACUCCUACGGGAGGCAGCAGUGGGGAAUAUUGCACAAUGGGCGCAAGACUGAUGCAGCCAUGCCGCGUGUGUGAAGAAGGCCUUCGGGUUGUAAAGGACUUUCAGCGGGGAGGCGUUACCCGCAGAAGAAGCACCGGCUAACUCCGUGCCAGCAGCCGCGGUAAUAC